GGAGAGGUGCGAGAGUGGCUUAAUCGGCACGACUGGAAAUCGUGUGUGCCUCACGGUACCGAGGGUUCGAAUCCCUCCCUCUCCGCCA
rnacentral:tRNA from 1 species